rnacentral:rRNA from 1 species
ACGGCGAGUGAAGCGGCAAAAGCUCAAAUUUGAAAUCUGGCUCCUUUAGGGGUCCGAGUUGUAAUUUGCAGAGGAUGCUUCGGGAGCGGCCACGGCUUAAGUGCCUUGGAACAGGACGUCAUAGAGGGUGAGAAUCCCGUCUUUGGUCGUUGGUCCGCGCCCAUGUGAAGCUCCUUCGACGAGUCGAGUUGUUUGGGAAUGCAGCUCUAAGCGGGUGGUAAAUUUCAUCUAAAGCUAAAUAUUGGCCGGAGACCGAUAGCGCACAAGUAGAGUGAUCGAAAGGUUAAAAGCACCUUGAAAAGGGAGUUAAACAGCACGUGAAAUUGUUGAAAGGGAAGCGCUUGCGGCCAGACUCGGAUACAGGGUUCAGCGGGUGCGUGUCACCCGUGCACUCCCUGUUUUCCGGGCCAGCAUCAGUUCUGACGGCCGGUCAAAGGCCUCUGGAAUGUGUCGUCUUUCGGGACGUCUUAUAGCCAGAGGUGCAAUGCGGCCUGUUGGGACUGAGGAACGCGCU